AACGAACGCUGGCGGCAGGCUUAACACAUGCAAGUCGAACGCCCCGCCCGGGGAGUGGCAGACGGGUGAGUAACGCGUGGGAACAUACCCUUUUCUACGGACUAGCUCUGGGAAACUGGAAUUAAUACCGUAUACGCCCUACGGGGGAAAGAUUCGUCGGGGAGGGAUUGGCCCGCGUUGUAUCAGCUAGUUGGUGGGGUAAAGGCCUACCAAGGCGACGUUGGGUAGCCGGUCGGAGAGGAUGAUCGGCCACAUUGGGACUGAGACACGGCCCAGACUCCUACGGGAGGCAGCAGUGGGGAAUAUUGCAGAAUGGGCGGAAGACUGAUGCAGUAACGCCGCGUGCGGGAUGACGGCCUUCGGGUUGUAAACCGCUUUCGCCUGUGACGAAGCGUGAGUGACGGUAAUGGGUAAAGAAGCACCGGCUAACUACGUG
rnacentral:rRNA from 1 species